rnacentral:rRNA from 1 species
GGACUACGUGGGUAUCUAAUCCGGUUUGCUCCCCCAGCUUUCGUCCCUCACUGUCGGACCCGUUCUGGUGAGAUGCCUUCGCCAUUGGUGGUCCCACCGGGAUUACAGGAUUUCACUCCUACCCCGGCAGUACCUCUCACCUCUCCCGGUCCCUAGAAAUACAGUUUCCCCUGAACGCCCGCCAGUUAAGCCGGCGGAUUUCUCAAAGGACUUGUAAAUCCAGCUACGGACCCUUUAAGCCCAGUAAUAGCGGCCACCACUCGAGCCGCCGGUAUUACCGCGGCGGCUGGCACCGGUCUUGCCCGGCCCUUUCUUCACCAGCUGUUUACACUGGUGGACAGCCAGCCUAUGCUGGCACUCGGGGUUUCCUUAUCACGGUUGCCCGCAUUGUAAAGUUUUCGCGCCUGCUGCACCCCAUAGG